rnacentral:tRNA from 1 species
GAGGGUAUAGCUCAGUGGUAGAGUGUGUGCUCAGCAUGCAUGAGGCCCUGGGUUCAACCCCCAGUACCUCCA